UACGUAGGGUCCGAGCGUUGUCCGGAAUUACUGGGCGUAAAGAGCUCGUAGGUGGUUUGUCGCGUUGUUCGUGAAAACUCACAGCUUAACUGUGAACUUGCUUCCGAUACGGGCAGACUUGAGGUAUUCAGGGGAGAACGGAAUUCCUGGUGUAGCGGUGAAAUGCGCAGAUAUCAGGAGGAACACCGGUGGCGAAGGCGGUCCUCU
rnacentral:rRNA from 1 species